GACGAACGCUGGCGGCGUGCUUAACACAUGCAAGUCGAACGGAAAGGCCCUGCUCUUGUGGGGUGCUCGAGUGGCGAACGGGUGAGAAACACGUGUGUAACCUGCCCUUGACUUUGGGAUAACUUCAGGAAACUGGGGCUAAUACCGGAUAGGAGCUCCUGCUGCAUGGUGGGGGGUGGAAAGUUUCGGCGGUUGGGGAUGGACUCGCGGCUUAUCAGCUUGUUGGUGGGGGAGUGGCUUACCAAGGCUUUGGGGGGUAGCCGGCCUGAGAGGGUGACCGGCCACAUUGGGCCUGAGAUACGGCCCGGACUCCUCCGGGGGGCAGCAGUGGGGAUUAUUGCCCAUUGGGCGGAAGCCGGAUGCAGCACCGCCGCGUGCGGGAUGCCGGCUUUCGGGUUGUAACCCGCUUUCGCCUGUGACGAAGCGUGAGUGACGGUAAUGGGUAAAGAAGCACCGGCUAACUACGUG
rnacentral:rRNA from 1 species